rnacentral:rRNA from 1 species
UACGUAGGGGGCGAGCGUUGUCCGGAAUUACUGGGCGUAAAGAGCUCGUAGGGGGUUUGUCGCGUUGUUCGUGAAAACUCACAGCUUAACUGUGGGCGUGCGGGCGAUACGGGCAGACUAGAGUACUGCAGGGGAGACUGGAAUUCCUGGUGUAGCGGUGGAAUGCGCAGAUAUCAGGAGGAACACCGGUGGCGAAGGCGGGUCUCUGGGCAGUAACUGACGCUGAGGAGCGAAAGCGUGGGGAGCGAACAGG